GAUCCAGAUGUUCUGCCAGUUCACAGCCCACAUCUUCGCUCUUCCUCUCCUACCCAUGCGUGUGACCAGCACCACUGCCACCACACUGCCCUAAAGCCCGAAAUGCUCCUGUAUGCCAUCAUCUCCUCAUAGUGCAGCAGGUGGACAUCCUGCUCUGGGGGCUGACAUGGGCUAAGCGGCAUCUUCUUCCUUACGGAGAAGCACAACCCCAUCAGCUAUGAUUUUGAAAUAUCUGGUGACGAAAAUUCAUCUCAGUACCCAGACAAAAGCAGUACUCAGUCCUGGAAAAUUCAAUGCAGCCCUUGAUCAUGAAGAGAUAAAGAAGCGUGGUUUGAAAGACAAGGGCACUAGCAGAGGAACUCUUGCUGCUAGGGCAAUGAAACAGUAGCAGCUCUUCCAAGCCUGCCCUCCUUCUCUGCCAGGAGUUACCUGCACACAGCAAGGACUGCUGAAGUGAACUUGCAUGCGUUAACUUAAACUGUAGCUGAUGGAUGCUCGUCGUGCUAUAUCAAGCUGAAACGGAGUUCCUUACAGCUCCUGUUUUGUGGAUGGAAACCACAAGCAGAGGCAUGGACAGACUGCUGGCACUGCUAACGCCCACAGCAACCACUGCAAAAUGCCACAGAAACCAGCCGUCAGAGCCCUAAGGUUUCUUGAAAUGUAGUCCUUGCUUGAAAACUGUCCUCUCUUCAGCAAGAAACACUGCUUAGAUCCUUCUGUUUAGUUUCAUCAGUAUAAACUGUGAAGAUAAAGCAUAUUCAUUUAGUUCUGUAAGGACUGAUUAAUAAACAUGGGCAAAAAACCA
rnacentral:lncRNA from 1 species